UCUGGUAAUGAUGGCAGAGAGGCCACACCCGUUCCCAUACCGAACACGGAAGUUAAGCUCUCUAGC
rnacentral:rRNA from 1 species